rnacentral:lncRNA from 1 species
UUGGUGCAAAAUGCUGCUUGACUUGCCAAGUUGUGAAGAAAGCGCCGUCACUGAAUCUUGAUCUGGGCAGUUUGGUUUUAAGAUUUUUAUUUAAUUAACUUCUCAAUCUCUACACAAUCAGCUCCCCUAUGAACCUGGGUGCUCUCGCAGAAACUGAUAUGGGUUUGCUGGUUGAACUCAGGGCCAGUUUUAAGACCAGGGGCUGUUAGACUAUGAAACAACAGAGUGGCCUGUCAGCUGAAGUCUAGUGUUGUACUUUUUCAUGAAUUAAAUAGAUGAGAACUUUAUUAAGCGGCAGUACUAUGCUUAUCUUUAUAUCUUUAUAAUGUCUCUCUGAGAGCUACGGAGGACGAGAAUGGCCAUGGAUUUUUUUAUUUAUUUUUUUUAUGCACUGUUAUCUCAUGAUAACGACUGAUCUCAUUAUCUCAAUAUAACAAAGUUUGUUUUCCAAUGAUAAAAUUAUUUUUUUUCUAGCAACAGCACUAGCCACCAAGCAUCUUUUUAACUUUGCCUUAUUUCUUUAGCAAAGAGACUAAACACAACUCAGCUACUCUCUUCCAGCAGCGGCUUUAUUGUAGCGAGACCUCGGGCUAGUCCAUUACAGACUACUUCGGGGUGAUGCAGCUCAAGGAAGAAAAUUGAUGAUCAUAUGGAAAUGCAAUCAGACCGAGACGCUAAGGCAGAAAAAACUAUCGUGUCUGCAGUGCAAAAUGAUUUUUAAUUUGAUUUAUUAAAAAUGAUUAUUAAUUCAAAGAAAUGAUAAAGAAGGCUAGUGCUGUGGCUGGGACCCUAUAUGUACUGUUGAUGAAGUUAGGUGCUGUUCUGAACAUUAUUUGUGGCUAUAGAGUGGUGUUUUGGUUGAGGUUUGUUUAUGGCUCCUCAGACCGCUGUGUAUUGCUGUCGUGUGGUCGUUACUAAAGUUCAUAUAACUAGAGAAGCAAGCGGUCAACAACAUUCAUCUCUUGAGGGGGUGUCUAACUCUGUGUUACAGUGUGUUUGAUCCUAGCUUAAUUUUACGCCGCAAUAUCCCCUCAACCUUGCAAUCUAAAACUUUGCUCAUGUGUACUACUGACCUUCAACAUUUUAUCUUAGAAAUUUGUUCUCAAAUUGUGAAAAAAAAUGCCUCUUUAAAAUUGUGCAAACUUUUGAUUACUUGGUUUGUAAUUAUUUUGAGUUAUUUGUAAAGCAGGUUGUUACUUUGUAGAUAAAGAGUAUUAUGAGAUGUAAUUGAUGUGUUUUUGGUAUGAAAUUCUAGGCUGUCAUCUUCACGCAUACCCUUAAAAUACAUUAUAAGUGUUGCUAAACAUCAGAGAUAGGCGUUAAACAUGAGCGUCUUUUCAGCAAAACCACUCUGUCCCUGCAGGGUCACACAGAGAGAUCAUCUCUGGAUGAGAAGUGACUCACACGCAGCAGAAAUAAAGGAGCAGCGUUGGUAAUCAGAGAGCCCUUUAAAGAGACUGAGUGUAAAGUGUCCUCUUCACCGUCUUCAGGAGAGCUCCUCCUUUCCUGAACCUGGAAACGAUUUCUCAGCUGCGCCGACCUUAAUCGAGAUUGAACGCCUGGCUCACUCCCCUCCUCUUCAGCCUUUCAAGUUUCACUCAGCCGGCCCCUCAUCAUCAUCCUCAUCAUCAUCACUCUCUAAGACCCUGAUGAGCCAUCAAAAGCUACCCCCCACCCCACCCCUCCCUCCACACUCUCUUGUACAUACUGAGUCCAGCACAUACAGAUAUUCAAUGCACUGCACGCAAACAUGCAAUCAGCUCAGUACACUCUUUCACAUUCGCUUCACGCACACACUCACAGGUCACAGCAGCUCCCAAGUGCCACAUCAUCACAGCUCCUUCUCUCUUCUUCUCUCUUUCUCUUUCUCUCAUACACGGAGCAGAUAAAAGUCCUAAGGCCACACCACUAAUUAACUACAGUGAGCUUUAAAGGGCCGCAGCCAUGAGGGCUAAAGAUCUCCUCUGUAUCCCACAUCCCUCUGACAGGAGGACCCCGCCGUGCAGCCAGCACACACACGAUUUUUAAUCACACACACACGCAGAAACUCCUCAUCGGUAAUAUGCAGAAGUUAUGAGAACUAAACAAAUCUUGAAAGCUGUGUCAGAUUUGUUGAUGAUGAAUUGAAUAUAAAACUAAAUUUAGUCAGAAAAAGAGUCAGAAAAGUAAACUCCUUUGCUUUCUGUUCAGAUUAAAGAUUAAUCAAGACAUUAAAGCUCCAGUGAGUAGAUUUUUAUGAAAAAAAAGACGAUCAACAUUAUGAUGAUGAUUUUUAUUUGGCCAUUUUUAAGGUCAUGCAGAGACAGGCACCUAUGGGGAAUUUAGAGUGAUCAAUUCACCUGAUGAGCGUGAUUUUUGGACUGUGGGAGGGAGCAGGACUACCAACAGAGAACCCACACAUGCGUGAGGAGAACAUGCAAACUCUGCACAUGCACAGAAAGGCCUCAGGGAUUCGAACCAGGACCCUUCCUUUAUGAGACCACAACACUAACCACUGCAUGACCACAUGCAUGAGCACCAAAUCAAAGUCUUUAAACACAAAUAGCAUCCUUUAGCACACUUUAAAUCACUGGCCUUCAUAAUGCAUCGCAUUUAGUCUCACUCAUGAUACGCCUGCACAUACCUGAGUUUUAAUGCAAAAGUUGUUGUUUUUUCCACAAUGUUCACACAAUGCAAACACUUCUGAGAACUUUAAGUAUUUGUAUGCAUGUCCACUUGCUGCCUCUGGUAUGUUUUGCGCUGAUUUUAAUGCAAGUGAGAUAAACAUCAAAGAUGCUAUGCUACAAGCAGCAACUACAGAUUACAUAGGCUGGAGCCUUACUUGCGUUCCUUGGCUCGCCUGUUUUGUUGGGAACCCUUCUGCAUCAUCAGCAGGUAUCUCAGAGUCACAAGUGUUUCGCCCCUGAACCUGUACACCUCACCUGAGUGGGGCUGCGGAGGCUGGCUAGCCUUCGCAUGCAAAAGGGUUCCAACUUUGGGCCCUUUUCAGCCACAACCAUCUUGAGCUAGACUCUGCCAUCGUGGCUAUUCCCCUGGUGGUUUUCUUCAGCUGUUUAGGCUCCAAUCCGACUCUCUGGAGGAAGUAGUGCACCGAUUUUGUUGGGAACUCGCAGCAGCCAACCUCGAUUGGAAAAAUGGUUGCGUGCCACCCUUUUUGAGCUGCUUCAUCAAUCAGGUCUUGGUGCUUGGCUUUUUUAAGAUGAUGUGACGUGGCUAGCCUCUCCUCCAAGGGCACAGAACAUUCUGCCGCUAUGAUAGUUUUAGUGCAAAUGAGAUGUGGAAAAGCGGACAUUAAAAGGUGGGGUAGGCAGGAUCUGAGGAGGUGCCAGUUUUUGGGAGAAAUCUUGAAUGUAAACACUACCCCUCCCAACCUGUUUUCCCCUCAGCUCCUCCUCUCCCCUCCCUCUCUGCUCCAGCAAGCCCCGCCCACAAACAGACGACAGGACCCGAGCUAAACAAUUUAGCGCCGCUAUGAAACACAGAAGAUCCUGUUUGACAAGAAACACUUGUGUUUCAGACACUUGGCUUACCUUUUCCAGAAGAAAAGUUACAGGAUCCGUAAGAUCCCGAAGCGUCCCCCAUCAUUGUUGACCCGGCUUUUUAGCUCUUGUCCGGGUGGUCUACCUCCUUUUUAAGCGCCCGUUAUUCUGCAUGAGUCUUCGGUAUUUACUUUGUUUUCUUGCUUGUGUUGACGGUCGUGGCUAAAGCAGCAUUCAGACAAUUUUCCAUACCCUCUGGUUGGUUUCUACUGUCCGAUAUUGUAGCACGCUAACUUUGUUUGGGCUUGUGAACGACAUGAGGGAGCAGCAUCUGCCUCAUAACCAAUCAGGUUGGGGAAGGUGGAGAACGGCUUUCUUUACAGUCAGAAAGAGUGGGCCGCUCAAAAACUUUAAAAUGUUGACUACACAGACAAAACAAAACACAGUGAUAUCAUUAUAUUACCAAAUGUCAUCAACAACUAAUAGCUAUUGACUGAUAUUAAAAGCUUUUUUGUAUUUACCACAAAAAAAGAUGCUUCUUUAACAGAAUCCUGCCUACCCCACCUUUAGGGAACACAUGUUGAGUGAUUCUUGAGUUUAACUUUGGACAAACCUGCUCUUGUUUUGUGAUCCAUGGCUUGAAGUUGCACAAAGCUAAACCUGAACAAACAUGAAUGUAUGUAUUUGUUCUACCAUACUGCUCCGUGUUUCAGGGAGAGCAAAUGUUCCUCGCUGCUCCUUCACUGCCUUUUCUUUCUACAGCGAGGUUGUGUGAUGUGAGAGGAGCAGUCAGGUUCAGGUGGAUCCUGCUGCGACUGCAGAACCUUUGACAGUGGAGGAUGUGAAGGCUGACAUUUGCACGGGCUGGGGGAGAAAGAGGGGGGAUCAGCGGGUAAAGUGGGUGUCAAGCAGGGCGGAGGCUGCUGAGAGAAUAGCAGGAGUGUUUUGUUCUACACCUGUUUGUUUGAAAAACAAGAGACGGGGCGAGGAGGGUGGAAAACGAAGCACAAAAACCACAGUCACAUGCACCGUGACUGUGAACACCCAGACUAAACAGAGUCCUCUGAUCCACACUAUUAAUACAGUUUCCUGUCAGUCUGGAUGCACAGGUGAAGAUUUGUGCUGUGGCUGUAAAUCAGGUGGGGUUGGGAUCUGUAAACAACUUAAUAAAACUGAAAUGUUCUUUCAUUGUUUUCUCAUAUUGUGUCUUUUUUAACCUUUUACAUAAUUAGUUUUAUUUGUAAAAAUUUUCUGUAUUUUAAAUUGUGUUUUUUUAAUUUUAUUUUCUUCUUUUUCUUUGUAAAGCGUCUUUGAGCACCUGUAAAAACACACUAAUAAUAAAAUGUAUUAUUAUUAUUAUUAUUAUUAUUAUUAUUAUUAAAACCUGCUUUGAUACAUUCAAAAUGAAGCUGAGCUGCACUGGAUAACUGUUUCUCCAAGCUUGUAUCCUUCUUUAAGCUAGGAUGCAUAUUGUUUAUUUCCACAGUUUUAUCUUAAUCUAUUCCAAUUUUUGGGUGUUGCUUUUCAUUUUAUUUCUUCCUGUUUUAUUACACACUGUGACAUACAGACUAUCCAUGUACACUAUAAAACAGACCAAAUGGAUGUAAACAGUUACAUGAGACUCCUGCGUUUGCUUAUUAAACUUGUCAAUUAAUUUAACAUUUUAAGUUCUAUUUAUAAUUUUUUUAUUUUGAUGCUAAGUCUGAGCAGACACACACACUCCGUUUAGAACUCAGGUCUGUGCUGUGAGCACAUGUGAUGGCAAGUGAAGCUGUAUCAGUUAUAAAAAUAACUCUUAAAAUGGUGCAACAUCCAGUUUGUUUGACACAAAACUUAUUGUAGUUUGUUAGAGAUGAAUCAUCAAGUCAAAGAAACAACAAGUGAGUGACAGUUUUAAUGACUCAAGUGUUUAAAGCUCCUGUGGGGAACUUUAGCGCCCCCCCUGAGUACAAAACAGUCUUUGCUUAUCUCAUCCUGUUCAUGCUUUGGUAGUGUCUCAUUAUUCUGGCUUCUGACAGAUAAAUUUAUACCUUAGAAGACAAAAGUAAAAGAGUGCUACCUGGACUCAAAAAAGGAGUUUGUCUGAGGUGCUCUUUAGAAUGGGAUUCACAAAGUCAUUGAAGCAAAAAGAGAAAAAACUUCAAGGCGCUCUCUUAAUACUAUUAAAAUGCCUUUAUUAUGAAACAGCAUGGUCAUGUGGACCUUAAAAGCAAACUUCAAUGCGUCUGACGAAGGCUUGAUGCUGUUUGACUGACACCUACACCCUCCAUCUAGUUUCAGGCAUUAAAAAUUACAUUAUAAAAAUCGUCAAUAUUGUCGCUGAUGGUCUUGUUUGGGUUUGCACAUCAUGGACAGGCAUCAUUAUGAAUUUCAGUCUAAUCUAUCAAAAUAACAAAAAACUCCCUAUAGGAGCUUUAAUUUUCAUCAAGUUGAAAAUAUAAUAUUUCUCCCCGUGCUUUAAAUAAAAAAAAAUUAACCUUGACAUGCAAACCUUGGUGGGAACCUCGUGGCUUUUGAGAGAGGGGGCUGCACUCAGAGUGAACCAGUUAUUAUGUAAUUGAGGUCUUUUAACAUAACCUUGGGACAGCUAAACCGUAUGCAGGAGAGUUACAUAAUGCGCCCAUGUUGGCCUGGUUAAGAUGCUUUUUGGUUUUAAUGGGCAGGAGAGAGAGAAAGAUGCUGCUUUUAAUAUUGAACUAAUGUGCCCUCUGUAGUUCAGGUGAGUCCAGAGCUGCUGAGGUUUGUGAAUAAAAAAGAGCGUUAACCCUGCAUUUUACCGGAGGAUCCAUGUUGAUUGUUGACUCAAUCGCCAAUGUCAUUUCUGUUCUAAAUCAAUGGAUCUGCUUCAGCAUUCAAGGUGUCAGACUGUUUGACAUUGUGGUUCAGACCCAAUGGGAACAACCAAAGUCACAGAAGAACUGAGAAAAAUACAUCCUUUCCUUUAGAGCAGAAAACACAAUAUUUUGUUGAGAAAACCUGUUGUUCUGCUCCACUAUUGGACGUUGCCUGAUAUUUAAUUGGUUGCAUGGACAAGUUCAACAGUUCACCGUUUCUGUGUCAGCGAUCUAAUAUUGGACGGGUGUUGAAACACUGAAUGAAGAGCACAACAUGAAAGUAGGUUCAUCACAAUGGAAGCAUCGAUGAAUUGAGCGGCUCUGUCCAAACGGCCCUGAGCUCUCAGGGUAAUUGGAGGGGAGCUCCAGCGCAGACUCCUGAUGUGGGAAACGGACAAGAGACAAGAUCAGGCCGAUUGUUCCAGGAAUCACUUACAUUAAUAAGUACAGACUGUACUGUACAGCACUGGGAAUGGGAAUUAUUGCAUUUGGAGGACUCGACAUCCCACUUCCACGCCAUACUCUGUGGUUUUAAAUGUGGUGGACUCUUCCACCAGAGCAUACAGACAGAGUAGGAGCGUGUGGGGAAAUGAUGUAAGGAGAGAAAAGCCCAGGACCAGAGUAAUUAUUCCCUCUUUUAUAAUCUGAAAAAACUAUUCCACUUUCAGGGCCAAAAAUAAAAGUUCAAACAAGGCUCACAUUUAGCAGCUGGUGCACCAAUUUACUUGUUUGUGUUGCUGUAGAGAAAAAGAUUUAAUUGCAUUCAAGGAAUAAUUAGUUUGGGUCUCAAUUUUAACUUGGUAAACACUGAUGCAAACCAAUCAUGCAGCUAUAAUCUGCAUCAAAAUUAAAGACUUGAAGAUCAACUCUUUCCUUCGUAACUGAGAUGGCAUUUUAUUUACAAGUUACACGAACUUAACAGAUGUUUCUCUCACUUCCUGCUGAAGUUGUGUUUAUUAUCUGCAGUUAUGACCAGGCUGUGAUUAAUACAUGAAACCCUACAAGAACAAUGAUCUAUUCUCAACACCAAAACUGAAGCCAGAGCUACCUGAUAACAUAUGACAUCAAAUCAACCAAGGUUUCAUGUUCCACUUUGGCAAAUAUUCAUUUC